UACGAAGGGGGCGAGCGUUAUUCGGAAUCACUGGGCGUAAAGCGUGCGUAGGCGGUUUUGUAAGUUAGAAGUGAAAGCCCAGGGCUUAACCCUGGAAUUGCUUUUAAAACUAUGAGACUCGAAUCUCGGAGAGGAUAGCGGAAUUGUCAGUGUAGCAGUGAAAUGCGUAGAUAUUGACAGGAACACCAGUGGCGCAAGCGGCUAUCUGGACGAGUAUUGACGCUGAGGCACGAAAGCGUGGGGAUCAAACAGG
rnacentral:rRNA from 1 species